UAGCUACUGAAUCAAUGGUGUGUCAUCAUUGAUAAUGUAAGGGAUAAAAAAAGAUAUUACCUUACUAUUAGUGUCGUCCAAGUACUCGUGCCAGAAGACUCGGUAAGGCGAGAGACGCAAACGUUAUUCGUCUUGAUCAGGCGUAAAGGGUUUGUAGGCGGCUUUAAGAAUCAAUUCUUUGUUUAACCAAAGGCUCUAAUCUGCAAAGAUUCAAGGGUAUUUGAUCAAUUAAAGCUAGAAUCAAGAAGAGGUUAUAUUAUAUAAUACUUAGUGUAAGAUUGACAUCUGAAAAUACUAAGCGGAAUACUAACGGCGAAGGCUUUUUUCCAAUAAUGAUUGACGCUGAGAAACUAAGGUGAGGAUAGAAAAAAGGAUUAGAGACCCUCGUAUCCCUCACUGUCAACGAUGAAUGGUAGUUACUAAGUAAUAGAAUAAUGUAUAAUUCUAUACUUCUCCUUCCCUCCCCCUAAAGGGCGGGGAAUAAAUUAAUAAUAGGAUUAAAGAAGUAUUAAUAAACUUAGAGACGAUGUUAACACGUAACCAUUCCGCCUUGUGAGUACGACUGCAAAGUUGAAAACAAAAAAAUUAGUCGGUUUCGGAGCAAACGAAGUGAAGCAUGUUAUUUAAUGA
rnacentral:rRNA from 1 species